CAGCAGCCGCGGGAAUACGAAGGGUGCAAGCGUUACUCGGAAUUACUGGGCGUAAAGCGUGCGUAGGUGGUGGUUUAAGUCCGUUGUGAAAGCCCUGGGCUCAACCUGGGAAUUGCAGUGGAUACUGGGUCACUAGAGUGUGGUAGAGGAUAGUGGAAUUUCCGGUGUAGCAGUGAAAUGCGUAGAGAUCGGAAGGAACAUCUGUGGCGAAGGCGACUAUCUGGGCCAACACUGACACUGAGGCACGAAAGCGUGGGGAGCAAACUGGAUUAGAUACCCCGGUAGUCCCUGUUUCUUAUAC
rnacentral:rRNA from 1 species